ACAGGCGUAGCUCAGUGGCCAGAGCGCCUCGUUUACACCGAGGAUGUCGGGGGUUCAACUCCCUCCGCCUGUACCA
rnacentral:tRNA from 1 species